UACGUAGGGGGCGAGCGUUGUCCGGAUUCAUUGGGCGUAAAGAGCUCGUAGGCGGCUUGGCAAGUCGGAUGUGAAAACUCCAGGCUCAACCUGGAGCCGCCAUUCGAUACUGCUAUGGCUAGAGUCCGGUAGGGGAGUGUGGAAUUCCCGGUGUAGCGGUGAAAUGCGUAGAUAUCAGGAGGAACACCGAUGGCGAAGGCAGGUCUCUGGGCUGACACUGACGCUCAUGCACGAAAGCGUGGGGAGCAAACAGG
rnacentral:rRNA from 1 species